GACGAACGCUGGCGGCGUGCUUAACACAUGCAAGUCGAACGGAAAGGCCCUGCUUUUGUGGGGUGCUCGAGUGGCGAACGGGUGGGUAACACGUGAGUAACCUGCCCUUGACUUUGGGAUAACUUCAGGAAACUGGGGCUAAUACCGGAUAGGAGCUCCUGCUGCAUGGUGGGGGUUGGAAAGUUUCGGCGGUUGGGGAUGGACUCGCGGCUUAUCAGCUUGUUGGUGGGGUAGUGGCUUACCAAGGCUUUGACGGGUAGCCGGCCUGAGAGGGUGACCGGCCACAUUGGGACUGAGAUACGGCCCAGACUCCUACGGGAGGCAGCAGUGGGGAAUAUUGCACAAUGGGCGGAAGCCUGAUGCAGCAACGCCGCAUGCGGGAUGACGGCCUUCGGGUUGUAAACCGCUUUCGCCUGUGACGAAGCGUGAGUGACGGUAAUGGGUAAAGAAGCACCGGCUAACUACGUG
rnacentral:rRNA from 1 species